UAAAAACAUUGUUUAGUGUGCACGCGAUUCGAUGCGGUAGUUACGGUAGUAUGUUAAAAAUGCAUUACUAAUUUAAAAUGUGAAACACAUUGUGGCACGCUUCAACUAAACUCUGCAGUUUGGACGCUACCAAGAUAUUCUCACAUCCGAGAUAUUGUCUAGGUUUGAUCGCCACAUUAAAACGCCAAGAGCCAUAUUCGAUAUCAAUUCAAGGAAUGGAGCUCUCUGUAUUUCUAUUAAUUAUUUACCUGGUGAUAGUGAAGUCUGGAGAGGUGGCAGACGACAGAGGCAAUAUUCACAAUACAACUCCAAGACCUUGCUGUUUUCCUUAUAAGUUUCAAGCUGUGGUCACUCAACUGACCAGUUUCAGUGUCCAGAAUAAGGUGAUUACACGUAGUCUUUCUUGAUACGUCCAAACAACGUAAUGUUAUCUUUCGGAGUAAAUGAAUCUUUUUAGUCUAAACCAGAGUCUUACGCCUGGUACGAGUUUUUAUAGCAUUUUAAACUGUUCCCAACUAAUUCUAACAGCUAUGUGCAAUGCAUCAUUACGGGAUUUUGUGUUUAGCUUUGUUAAUUAAAAAUAAAUCUAUAAUUAUGCGCUGUCA
rnacentral:sRNA from 1 species